AUCGGGGAGUAGCUUGCUACUCUGCCGGCGAGCGGCGGACGGGUGAGUAAAGUCUGGGGAUCUGGCUUAUGGAGGGGGAUAACCAUUGGAAACGGUGGCUAAUACCGCAUGAUGUCGCAAGACCAAAGUGGGGGACUUUAGGGCCUCACGCCAUAAGAUGAACCCAGAUGAGAUUAGCUAGUAGGUGCGGUAAUGGCGUACCUAGGCGACGAUCUCUAGCUGGUCUGAGAGGAUGACCAGCCACACUGGAACUGAGAGACGGUCCAGACUCCUACGGGAGGCAGCAGUGGGGAAUAUUGCACAAUGGGCGGAAGCCUGAUGCAGCCAUGCCGCGUGUGUGAAGAAGGCCUUAGGGUUGUAAAGCACUUUCAGCGGGGAGGAAGGCGGUAAGAGUAAUAUGCUUAUCGAUUGACGUUACCCGCAAAAGAAGCACCGGCUAACUCCGUGCCAGCAGCCGCGGUAAUACGGAGGGUGCGAGCGUUAAUCGGAAUAACUGGGCGUAAAGGGCAUGUAGGCGGUAAGUAAGUCAGAUGUGAAAUCCCCGAGCUUAACUUGGGAACGGCAUUUGAGACUGGCUGGCUAGAGUUUUGUAGAGGGGGGUAGAAUUCCAGGUGUAGCGGUGAAAUGCGUAGAGAUCUGGAGGAAUACCGGUUGCGAAGGCGGCCCCCUGGACAAGGACUGACGCUGAGGUGCGAAAGCGUGGGUAGCAAACAGGAUUAGAUACCCUGGUAGUCCACGCUGUAAACGAUGUCGAUUUGGAGGUUGUGGCCUAGUGUUAUGGCGUCCGAAGCUAACGCGAUAAAUCGACCGCCUGGGGAGUACGGCCGCAAGGUUAAAACUCAAAUGAAUUGACGGGGGCCCGCACAAGCGGUGGAGCAUGUGGUUUAAUUCGAUGCAACGCGAAGAACCUUACCUACUCUUGACAUCCACGGAAUUGAGCAGAGAUGCUUAAGUGCCUUCGGGAGCCGUGAGACAGGUGCUGCAUGGCUGUCGUCAGCUCGUGUUGUGAAAUGUUGGGUUAAGUCCCGCAACGAGCGCAACCCUUGUCCUUUGUUGCCAGCACGUGAUGGUGGGAACUCAAAGGAGACUGCCGGUGAUAAACCGGAGGAAGGUGGGGAUGACGUCAAGUCAUCAUGGCCCUUACGAGUAGGGCUACACACGUGCUACAAUGGCUCAUACAAAGAGCGGCGAGCGUGCGAACGUAAGCGAACCUCAUAAAGUGCGUCGUAGUCCGGAUUGGAGUCUGCAACUCGACUCCAUGAAGUCGGAAUCGCUAGUAAUCGUGGAUCAGAAUGCUACGGUGAAUACGUUCCCGGGCCUUGUACACACCGCCCGUCACACCAUGGGAGUGGGCGGCAAAAGAAGUAGGUAGCUUAACCUUCGGGGGGGCGCUUACCACUUUGUGGUUCAUGACUGGGGUGAAGUCGUAACAAGGUAACCGUA
rnacentral:rRNA from 1 species